rnacentral:rRNA from 1 species
CCUACGGGUGGCAGCAGUGAGGAAUAUUGGUCAAUGGACGAGAGUCUGAACCAGCCAAGUAGCGUGAAGGAUGACUGCCCUCGGGGUUGUAAACUUCUUUUAUAAAGGAAUAAAACGAGGCACGUGUGCCUUUUUGCAUGUACUUUAUGAAUAAGGAUCGGCUAACUCCGUGCCAGCAGCCGCGGUAAUACGGAGGAUCCGAGCGUUAUCCGGAUUUAUUGGGUUUAAAGGGAGCGUAGAUGGGUUGUUAAGUCAGUUGUGAAAGUUUGCGGCUCAACCGUAAAAUUGCAAUUGAUACUGGCAGUCUUGAGUACAGUUGAGGUAGGCGGAAUUCGUGGUGUAGCGGUGAAAUGCUUAGAUAGCACGAAGAACCCCGAUUGCGAAGGCAGCUUACUAAACUGUGACUGACAUUGAUGCUCGAAAGUGUGGGGAUCAAACAGGAUUAGAUACCCCAGUAGUC